GAUGAACGCUAGCGGCAGGCUUAACACAUGCAAGUCGAGGGGCAGCAUGGGACUGAGAUUCGUCGAAGUCCUGAUGGCGACCGGCGCAAGGGUGCGUAACGCGUGAGCAACUUGCCCGUUUCAGGGGGAUAACCGGUGGAAACGCCGACUAAUACCCCAUAGUAUUGGGUUUAGGCAUCUUUACCCAAUUAAAGAAUUUCGGAAACGGAUAGGCUCGCGUGACAUUAGCUGGAUGGCGGGGUAACGGCCCACCAUGGCGACGAUGUCUAGGGGUUCUGAGAGGAAGGUCCCCCACACUGGAACUGAGACACGGUCCAG
rnacentral:rRNA from 1 species